rnacentral:rRNA from 1 species
GACGAACGCUGGCGGCAUGCCUAAUACAUGCAAGUCGAGCGAACAGAUGAAGUGCUUGCACUUCUGACGUUAGCGGCGAACGGGUGAGUAACACGUAAGGAAUCUACCUAUAAGCGGGGGAUAACAUUCGGAAACGGGUGCUAAUACCGCAUAAUAUCUUCUUCCGCAUGGAGGAAGAUUGAAAGACGGCUCUGCUGUCACUUAUAGAUGACCUUGCGGUGCAUUAGUUAGUUGGUGGGGUAACGGCCUACCAAGACGAAGAUGCAUAGCCGAGCUGAGAGGGGGAUCGGCCACAUUGGGACUGAGACACGGCCCAAACUCCUACGGGAGGCAGCAGUAGGGAAUCUUCCGCAAUGGGCGAAAGCCUGACGGAGCAAUGCCGCGUGAGUGAAGAAGGCCUUCGGGUCGUAAAACUCUGUUAUAAGAGAAGAACAAAUUGUAGAGUAACUGCUACAGUCUUGACGGUAUCUUAUCAGAAAGUCACGGCUAACUACGUGCCAGCCGCCGCAGUAA